UCUACAAUACACAUUACACACGCUGUUCCUCCACAAUGAUACCCUCCAGGAUGCCUUUCGCCAACCCUCCCUUCCUUCUGCCGACUACCAAGAAGCCCUCAGAUUAUUCGCCACGGUGCAGGAGAAGGCACACAACUAGGUUGCCCAGUCGGUCGUUCGCCGUCGCUACCGGCGAUUUCUUCAUGGGCCUCGCGUGAUCGUCGGUGAGGCGGAGUCCGCCGUCUUCUGGGAGCAGAGCGAGAAGGACGUCGAAGCGGAGAGGGAGCGGUCGAAGAUUACGAGCCCCGGCUUCAGCUUCUCCGCUGCGGGGCUUUCGGUUCCUUUCCAUCUCGGCGUCGUGCAGUUUCUCCUGGAGAAGGGGUACAUUCGGGUAAUGAAGAGGGAAAGAGUUUAUCGCUCUGUGUUGCUUCUGUCGUGUGCAACUGCAAUUGGCUUAUAUCUGUGAUCUUGAUGCCGUUAUUCCCUGUGUUCUGACUCAUGCUUAGACCCAACCGUGUGCUUUUCUGAUUGCCUAGCAAUUUGAUACUUUGGUGAGAACAUCAAAGUUUUAGCUGUUUUCAAGGAGGAGCACCCAUUGUAAAUGGGAAUUCCGCCUAGUUUUAUCUUCGCAGGUCUGAAUUUCUUUCGAGUCUUCGACAAAUUGAGUGCUGACGGAUUUCUUGGUCGGAUGAUUUGUUGCGAACAAAUUCUGCAUAAGUUCUCGGAAGUGCUUGCUUCGAUUAAAUAAUGAACUUCUUUCUUUCUUUUUUUUCUUCCCCCUCCAUGAUCCGAUCUUGUCUCAACUAGGGUUAUGGCUGCAGGAGAACACUCUGUUAGCUGGUUCAUCUUUCGGGGCUAUAGUGUGUGCAGUUAUUGCAUCCGGAAACACCAUGGAGGACGCUCUGCAAUCCACCUUUGGCACUAAUGCUUUUCAAAGUUGCGAUUGAAAUGCAAAAUUGCAAUAUGGCUUUGCAUAAAGUAUUCCCAAAGCGGGCUUUUAUUGUCCUGAAUUCUGGUAGCAUUUGCAUGAGCUUCUUGGCUGUGACGCGCAGUUACUGUGAGAGUCUCCCAGUCCCUCCUUUGUGCUUCCAUGUUAUGGUGAGAAUGGACCUGAGGUAUUUUGGUCUAUGGACGAAGAUCUCAUCAUUUCACAUUUGACCAACUUUUUUCAACCUGUGAAUUUUUUUUUCUUCAUAUACGUAGGACAGCAUGGUUAUGGAGAACAUUCACAUAACAUAUGUUUGUAUGCCGCUGAUUGAUUUAUCCCUUUUUACAGGCUGUCCUGAGGGAUAUACUUGAAAACUUUUUACGAGAUGAUGUUCAUAAGAAAUCAAAUAGUAGGAUAAGUGGUAACCAUCAUUCACCUGUUUUUGUUUCAGAACAACUUGAUCCAUCUUUUUUCAUGGUAUGUACAGUUGUUUUGCUUCAGCAUGAGUACUCUUGUUUUCAUCCCCAAGGAGAAUAGAGAUGAAUGGGACCUGUUAAGUUUAGUACCUAUGGGACUUAUAGGCCAUAUGUAAAGGAAUUGGCCCUCAUAUUGCAGAUAGGCAGUCAGAGCUGCUUCAGAAUUGUGACCUUCCGACUCCACAUCAGAGGAGAAGUCUGAAGAAUUCCAUGGGGUGAGAGAGGAACAAGCCUGCUGAACCAACAAAAUCUUUUUAGUCAGAUAAUGAUUGUUUUCUGUUACAGAGUCAUAAUGUAUACAACAAGGAGGAAAAUUCAGGAAGACAAGGGCGCUGAUCCUUCUAUGUUUGAGGAGAUAGUUGCACGGGUUAAGAAUUUGAGCUGUGUAGCUACUUUAAAGCAUAAGUUGAAGUAUAAUAUUCAUCAACAGUAAACAUUUCUCACCUUGCUGGCUUUUUCUGACCUUGAGAACACCAACCAGGAACUGAAAAAUGAUAUGAAGGAUCGGUUCAUCAACUCAGCUGUGCAUUAAAGCCAAAUUGACAUCUAUGGGAACCCGAAGGCAGUGGUGAUCCAUGUUCCUUCAAAUUGCCGAAGGCUUUUCUAUAAAAUGGAUUACACAAGAGGAAUCAAAUGUACAAGUAUUAUGGACUAUAUGAUGCUUCAAAUGGUUCUAUAUGAUGUCAAUGACAUGAUUUUUUUUUU